rnacentral:tRNA from 1 species
GGGCUGGGGCUCAGUGGUAGAGCGCUUGCCUAGCAUGCGUGAGGCACUGGGUUUGAUUCUCAGUAUCACA